UUAAGUAAAAUGAAGGAGGAAGAGAAUAGAAAAAAUGAAGGAUACUUCAUAUGAAGAAAUUAAGAUGCAACUCGUACAUUACUUAUACUUUUUUGAAUUUCUUAGUAUUGUUCGGGUAAUAAGUGAAGAGUUAUUCGAACCUUUUCUAAAAAAUUCUGUCAUUAUAUGGUUAUAUUGAAAUAAGUAAUAACAACUUGGAACCACAAUCGAAAUAAUGUAAACAUUGAUUCAUUCUACUUCUACUUGGAAGAAUGGAGAAUCUUCCCUACCUUGAGUAGUUGGGAUUCGUUCAUAAUAUGUAUUGUUUAAGCCUGUAUGAAUGAAUAAAAACGACAUGGUGUUCUUGCAUGACAGUCCAAUGAAUGAAAGCAGCUCAAAGCUGUGAGGAAAGUGAACACACAGAGCUUCAUUGAAACUCAAGAUCUUUUUAUACAGAAAUUAUAAGGGCUAAUUGCAGAUACUUUUUCACUCCUAAUUGAUUGUUGCUAGUUUAUAUUAAUUAUUAUCCAUUACAUACGCAACGUCAAGAUCUUCAAAAACAUUUCCUUACUUCGAUUUAUAGAAAUCUUCUACAUAUAUAUAUAUACAUUUUUUUAAAUUUGAACACUAAUCACAAGUGCAAUGACAUUUAUGUUAACUUCAGAUUCAAUACCUUCUUUGUAUCGGUUACAAGAUUCCCUCAACAUUAACUUCCCGUCCUAUUUACCCACUAAUAAAAAUGAUCGGUUGUUUGAUUAGUUUAUGUUAUUUUUGAGAAAAUUCUGAGAAACUAUUAACUACUUGACAAAAUUUUGUAAUAUUGUGGAAAUGACAUAAAGCCUUAUUAAUUAUAUUUUCAUAUGAAUAUUGUUGAGUGAGUGUUAUGAUUUAACCAAAAUUGGAUUAGAAUAGUUAUAAAUAACUAUGUAUUAGAGGUGACCGAUAAUAUUGUUAGCUAAAACUAUCUGGCUUCAUGACAUUUUAUCUUAAACCAUUUGGCCUUAAAAUCAAUUUUGCCUCAACAAUAUUUCGUCUUAAUAUAAAUAUAUUAGGUUUAUGCCGUUCUUGUUUAUUUUUAGUUUAAAUUGAUGUUCCCUUUGAAUUUUUAAUAAAAAUAUGUAAUAUUUAUUAUUGUAAAAACAUGAAAUGGCUGUUUUCUGUUCGAAUAACGAUCGGAUUAUGCCCCAAAAUUACGAUACAUAAUACCCAAAUCUCACUCAGUAAUGAGUUCGAACAAGGAACAAAAUACGAUAUAUAUUGAAUCUAACUAGAAAAAUAAACAAAGACGAAAACUGUUCGAAUUGAA
rnacentral:lncRNA from 1 species